AAAGCAUGGUGAGGGCAUUCCCUAAGUAUUUUUAAAAUCUCUCCCAACUAUCAUAAAUUGAUUCACCUUCAAACAGAGUUAAAGAAGUGAUAUAAUUUAUAAGUUU